AGUCAUGUUUAAAUGAAUUGUUACUUCACUCCCAUUCCGAGGCGUGAAGUUUGCGUGAAUGGGGUGAAUUCUGCCAUCUCUACAGUGUGGCCCUAAUCUGAUGAUCUGAGAUCGAUUGAUUUGGUCUUCACACAGGCACAUAUGUACAUACACACUUGUGAUAAUUAAGCAUUCUGGGAAAGUCUUUACUGAGGAAGCACGGUUACAUCACAUCAUGAACAUUUCCACAAUUUUUCUUGUGUGUCUGUGUCUGUGUGUGACCCUGGAGAUGGCGAUGACGUCAGAGGUCACUGACCCAGUGGAGCAGUUCAGGCUUCACUGUCUGACCCCAGACUCAUGGGAAGUGAGCGAUAUGUGCAUAUUCUUUAGGGCCGUGGACACAGAUGCCAGCGGGUCUUUAAACUUUUUGGAGUUCUGGUAUAAUAUACUUCGCC